GCCCCGGGGCUGCACUGGACUCCUCCCCCCGUUGCUCAGACCCAAAGCUCGGCAGGAAGCGGGAGGUGCCCGGUGCGCAUCCCAGCCCCUGGAGGAGCGCACCGAUCCGAGAAACGCGCGGCGGCUCCACCUUGGCACCGCGGGGGUUGUGACCAUAAUCGAGCCCAGAACAGAGAGCGACCAGGCGGGUAAGCGUGACGGCGGGAGCCUCGGCGCACCUUCCACCUUCCUGAGCGGUGCGUAAAGAGAGAACAGAUGCAGAGUCACAUGACGCCUUGAAGGUCCUGAUGUGGUCUUCUUUCAAAGUGGAGGGUAGACGACAAAGAGAUUUGUGUGGGACCACAUGGCUGCAGUGACGAGAACAAGAGGAGGCCUUCAUACACAGUCAUCUUCCACCCUCUAGUGGA